rnacentral:misc_RNA from 1 species
GUGGGAAAUGGGAAUGAGGUAUGGAGAGCUCAUGGAACAAUGGCGAUGAUACAGCUUUUGUAUGGUGGAUACCAUGUGAUUACAAAAGUGGCACUCAAUGUGGGAAUGAAUCAAAUUGUGUUCUGUUUGUAUAGGGAUCUUCUUGCUCUAUCUAUUCUUGCACCAGUUGCCUAUGUUCGCGAAAAGAGGUCGAGGAUUCCUUUGAAUAGGCGGCUUCUGCUAUCCUUCUUCUUUCUAGGAUUAACUGGUAUUUUUGGGAACCAACUUUUGUUUCUUAUUGGUCUUGGUUACACAAAUCCAACAUAUGCUGCAGCCGUGCAACCUGCAAUACCAGUCUUCACAUUCAUAUUUGCAGUAUUGAUGGGUACAGAAACAGUGAAGCUUUUUACUGUGGAAGGUCAAGCAAAGGUUGGAGGUACGAUUGUUUGUGUUUCUGGGGCAAUCUUAAUGGCCAUCUUCCGUGGACCUGUGGUGUUUGGAGACAGAAGCUCAGAAUUCAUACACAGUGAUAUAAGUGCUAAGGGUCAGCCAGAGCCUACUGGAUGGUUAAUGUCAAGUUUCGUGGAAUUGGGUUUUGAUGAUUGGCACCUCGGUGUUUUAUGCUUAAUAGGAAACUGUAUGUGCAUGGCAGCAUACUUAGCUAUUCAGGCUCCAGUUUUGGCAAAAUACCCUGCAAGUAUAUCAGUGACGGCAUAUUCAUACCUUUUUGGUUGCCUUUUAAUGGUAGCAACAGCCUUCUUUGUGACCGAUGAGUCAACCGACUGGAACUUGACACAAUCUGAAGCUUUUGCUGUGUGCUAUGCUGGAAUUGUUGCAUCUGCCCU